GAUGAACGCUGGCGGCGUGCUUAACACAUGCAAGUCGAACGGUGAACGAGGGAGCUUGCUCCCUCCGGAUCAGUGGCGAACGGGUGAGUAACACGUGAGCAAUCUGCCCCGAACUCUGGGAUAAGCGUUGGAAACGACGUCUAAUACCGGAUACGAGCUGCGAAGGCAUCUUCUGCAGUUGGAAAGAAUUUCGGGUCGGGAUGAGCUCGCGGCCUAUCAGCUAGUUGGUGAGGUAACGGCUCACCAAGGCGACGACGGGUAGGCGGCCUGAGAGGGUGACCGGCCACACUGGGACUGAGACACGGCCCAGACUCCUACGGGGGGCAGCAGUGGGGAAUAUUGCACAAUGGGCGCAAGCCUGAUGCAGCAACGCCGCGUGAGGGACGACGGCCUUCGGGUUGUAAACCUCUUUUAGUAGGGAAGAAGCGAAAGUGACGGUACCUGCAGAAAAAGCACCGGUUAACUACGUGCCAGCCGCCGCCGUAACAC
rnacentral:rRNA from 1 species